GACGGAGGGUGCGAGCGUUGUUCGGAUUGACUGGGCGUAAAGGGCGUGUAGGCGGUCGGCCAAGUCUGGUGUGAAAGCCCGGGGCUCAGCUCCGGAAGUGCGCCGGAAACUAGCUGGCUGGAGCGCGGUAGAGGAGGGUGGAAUUCCUGGUGUAGCGGUGAAAUGCGUAGAUAUCAGGAAGAACACCCGUGGCGAAGGCGGCUCUCUGGGACGGUACUGACGCUGAGACGCGAAAGCGUGGGGAGCGAACAGG
rnacentral:rRNA from 1 species